UUUUAUUCGAUGAAUUUUAAGAGAAGUCGAAGACAUACAAAUCAUACAACUGAAGCUGUAGGUAGAUAGCUGCUUUGGAUGCUGUGCCACCGAGUAUAUAAACACUCGGCGACACAGCUAAUCUGCGAGUAGCAGAAAUAGCGUAGUUUAGCCGAUCGAGUCGGAGCACCGGGCGUUACCACUUCAUUGCCCCGUCGAAACACAGUGUGGCAACACUGCGAAUCGACAAGCACAACUUCGUGGUAGCCCGGUGCCCCUCGGACGAAGCCCAAGAAAUUCCAGCACGCUGGCUUUUUUCGGCUUCGUUCGACUGGCUGCACUGUCGCUGAUCAAAAUAUUUACUUUUGACAAAAUGGCUUGUUUCUGUGUUUCGACUUCUCUUUACAUUAAAAAAUGGUUUAAAACGAACUAAUUAAGACCUUAAAACUAAUUUAAAAACGUGAUUAAAACGUAACAAUAUAAAUAGUUUAAAACUUUCAAACGGUUAAAACAACACCGUAGUGUUUUUAUAUACUUUUAUCGGGAGAAGCCCGUUACUUUAUGAUCGAUCACCGAUCUUCAUUUACAUUUCAAAGGAAAAAGAACAACAAUAUAAGAUUUCGAAGAUCGAACGAAGAAUACAACAAUCGGCCGCCAUGUUUUUGCUCGGUGAUUCACCGGUACUUAAUUUCAACACCAUUUCCAAAUUUGGAUUUUAUUUCGAUGUAAGUAUUUUUGAUGAGCGUAUGAAUAAAUUAAAUUUCGAAGAAAUUUCGUUGUUACUUUUAUUUUAUAAUUUUGUUCGUAGAUAUGAAGAUCCAAAUUUGUGACUAGAAUAUCGUUUAGUUUGCCCCGAGGCAUUUUGUAUUUAUUCAGUGAUAGCGAAUUACCCAUGACAGGUGAGUUCCGUUUUUGAAAACUGAUUUGUCUUCGCAUUAUUAAUUUUUUUCUGCCCUUCGUAGGCUGUUUCGAUAAAUUUCCACGAUGAUACCGUUCGGUUCGAGAUGAUUUGUUUAACACGUUCGCCAAAUUUGGAUGAUAGAAAAAGAGUGGCCAUGUUGCCAGCGUAAUCGUUCGAUGCUUUUACUACUUGGAUUCAUCAAUACGAAAUAGGUAAUUUGUUUUCCUAUAAUUUUGAUUUUAUUCGACGAGUUUAAUUUUGGAUUCUUCGUAGUACGAGAACUUUUUGCGCUGAAGGC